rnacentral:tRNA from 1 species
GCUGUGGCUUAGGGGUAGAGCACUUGCCUGGCAUGUGUGAGGCCCUGGGUUUGAUCCUCAGCACAGCA